rnacentral:lncRNA from 1 species
GGUAAGUGGGACAUGUAGUCCAGUAUCCUCCAGUACUCCUGGAUAUUUGUUUUCGGGUUCGGCUUCAGGGCGUGGACAACAUCCGGGAACUGAAUCCCGUCGCGGAUGAAGAACACCGGAGUGUUGUUUCCAACGAGAUCAAAGUUCCCCUGAAGUGCAUUACCAAGACACACACAUGAGUACUGAUUCUAAAGAAGCUAGAGGAGAUCUCAAAAAUGAAAAUUACUAAUAUUUUUGUUAUAUAGACACUCUAAAAAAUCAGUCUAGGCGGUACUUAAUAAUCCAUAGACAAAUCAACUAUUAGCAAAAUGAUUUUUCUAAACCGAUUAUUUCGGUUUAAGCAUCCGCCUAGACAUUAAUUAUAAUUACCGCCUAGUGAUUUUUUAAACAUUAAUUGUUUAAUACCUCUCUGGUGUAAAACUUGACGGCGAAGCCACGGAUGUCUCUCAUGGUUUCAGGGCUGGCACGCUCGUGAACGACAGUGGAGAAACGGACGAUGACCGGAGUCUGAACACCAGGGGCUCUGAGGAAAUCAGCACAAGUGAGGUUGGAGAUGUCAUGGGUGACCUCAAAGAAGCCCUUAGCACUGAUCCCUCUGGCAUGAACCACUCUCUCAGGAAUCCUCUCCCUGGUGAAGUUAGCAACCUUCUCGAUCAGAUGGUAGUCCUCAA